rnacentral:rRNA from 1 species
AUUGAACGCUGGCGGCAUGCUUUACACAUGCAAGUCGAACGGUAACAGGGUGCUUGCACCGCUGACGAGUGGCGAACGGGUGAGUAAUGCGUCGGAACGUGCCGAGUAGUGGGGGAUAACGCAGCGAAAGUUGUGCUAAUACCGCAUACGUACUGAGGGGGAAAGUGGGGGACCGCAAGGCCUCACGUUAUUGGAGCAGCCGAUGGCUGAUUAGCUAGUUGGUGAGGUAAAGGCUCACCAAGGCGACGAUCAGUAGCGGGUCUUAGAGGACGAUCCGCCACACUGGAACUGAGACACGGUCCAGACUCCUACGGGAGGCAGCAGUGGGGAAUCUUGGACAAUGGGCGAAAGCCUGAUCCAGCAAUGCCGCGUGCGUGAAGAAGGCCUUCGGGUUGUAAAGCGCUUUCAGCGAGGAGGAAGGGUGGUGUGUUAAUAGCACAUCAUUUUGACGUUACUCGCAGAAGAAGCACCGGCUAACUCUGUGCCAGCAGCAGCCGCAGUAA